rnacentral:rRNA from 1 species
UACGUAGGGUGCGAGCGUUCAUCGGAAUUACUGGGCGUAAAGCGUGCGCAGGCGGUUCGUUGUGUCUGAUGUGAAAGCCCCGGGCUUAACCUGGGAAUGGCAUUGGAAACUGGCGAGCUGGAGUGUGGCAGAGGGGGGUGGAAUUCCGCGUGUAGCAGUGAAAUGCGUAGAGAUGCGGAGGAACACCGAUGGCGAAGGCAGCCCCCUGGGCCAACACUGACGCUCAGGCACGAAAGCGUGGGGAGCAAACAGG